ensembl:ncRNA T14B4.11 ncRNA
UACUAUUGGAUAUUUCAAAUGUUUCCAUAUAUUUUUUCCAAUAUUGUUCAUUUUCUUGUAGAAAGGGAAACGUAAAGUAAACGUAGGCAAAUGUCAGAUUUAGGGAGCCAUAAGAAUUGAGACAAAUGGAGCGAG